CUACGGGAGAGCAGACAGUAGGGAAUCUUCCGCAUGGACGAAAGUCUGACGGAGCAACGCCGCGUGAACGAUGAAGGCCUUCGGGUCGUAAAGUUCUGUUGUCAGGGAAGAACAAGUGCCGUUUGAAUAAGGCGGCACCUUGACGGUACCUGACCAGAAAGCCACGGCUAACUACGUGCCAGCAGCCGCGGUAAUACGUAGGUGGCAAGCGUUGUCCGGAAUUAUUGGGCGUAAAGCGCGCGCAGGCGGUCUUUUAAGUCUGAUGUGAAAGCCCAUGGCUCAACCAUGGAUGGUCAUUGGAAACUGGGAGACUUGAGUACAGAAGAGGAGAGUGGAAUUCCACGUGUAGCGGUGAAAUGCGUAGAUAUGUGGAGGAACACCAGUGGCGAAGGCGACUCUCUGGUCUGUAACUGACGCUGAGGCGCGAAAGCGUGGGGAGCAAACAGGAUUAGAUACCCUGGUAGUCCACGCCGUAAACGAUGAGUGCUAGGUGUUAGGGGUUUCGAUGCCCUUAGUGCCGAAGUUAACACAUUAAGCACUCCGCCUGGGGAGUACGGCCGCAAGGCUGAAACUCAAAGGAAUUGAC
rnacentral:rRNA from 1 species